GAGAUAACUCCUACGGGAGGCAGCAGUGGGGAAUAUUGGACAAUGGGCGCAAGCCUGAUCCAGCCAUACCGCGUGGGUGAAGAAGGCCUUCGGGUUGUAAAGCCCUUUUGUUGGGAAAGAAAUCCAGCCGGCUAAUACCUGGUUGGGAUGACGGUACCCAAAGAAUAAGCACCGGCUAACUUCGUGCCAGCAGCCGCGGUAAUACGAAGGGUGCAAGCGUUACUCGGAAUUACUGGGCGUAAAGCGUGCGUAGGUGGUUGUUUAAGUCUGUUGUGAAAGCCCUGGGCUCAACCUGGGAACUGCAGUGGAAACUGGACGACUAGAGUGUGGUAGAGGGUAGCGGAAUUCCUGGUGUAGCAGUGAAAUGCGUAGAGAUCAGGAGGAACAUCCAUGGCGAAGGCAGCUACCUGGACCAACACUGACACUGAGGCACGAAAGCGUGGGGAGCAAACAGGAUUAGAAACCCUAGUAGUCCUCCACU
rnacentral:rRNA from 1 species